rnacentral:rRNA from 1 species
UACGUAGGGUGCGAGCGUUGUCCGGAAUUAUUGGGCGUAAAGGGCUCGUAGGCGGUCUGUUGCGUCGGGAGUGAAAACUCAGGGCUUAACCCUGAGCCUGCUUCCGAUACGGGCAGACUAGACGUAUGCAGGGGAGAACGGAAUUCCUGGUGUAGCGGUGAAAUGCGCAGAUAUCGGGAAGAACACCCGUGGCGAAGACGGCUCUCUGGAACGCAACUGACGCUGAGACGCGAAAGCGUGGGGAGCAAACAGG